rnacentral:lncRNA from 1 species
GUUACUUUAACUUGGUGGGAGUAUUUAUAACGUGAAAAUGCCAUUACACAUGACAAGCUGGGCUCUAGAAUUGUGGUGACAUCGAGACGGCUUGUGCAAAGUGUGCGCUCUACUCUUCCUGUUCUGGAGGAUGAGAAAAGGCUAAGGAAGGUAGAGAAAGGAGUCCUGUCACCUGACCACGAGGGGGGAGAUCGGUGCCUGACCCCUGAGGGUUGUCAGACCUUCUACCUGAGAGUCACUUGCUUAAAGAAGGUUGUGUUCUCUUCAUCCAGCUACACUUAGUCCUUACAUGUGACAUAUUAUUGACCAGAGACAUAUAAAUACAUUUUUAGAGAGGGAUACAAUUAACAUCACCAUCCGUAGUUGCUAGAUCUU